UGCGGAAGGAUCAUUAAUGAAUUCACUAUGGAGUUGUUGCUGGCCUCUAGGGGCAUGUGCACGCUUCACUAGUCUUUCAACCACCUGUGAACUUUUGAUAGAUCUGUGAAGUCGUCUUUCAAGUCGUCAGACUUGGUUUGCUGGGAUUUAAACGUCUCGGUGUGACAACGCAGUCUAUUUACUUAACACACCCCAAAUGUAUGUCUACGAAUGUCAUUUAAUGGGCCUUGUGCCUAUAAACCAUAAUACAACUUUCAACAACGGAUCUCUUGGCUCUCGCAUCGAUGAAGAACGCAGCGAAAUGCGAUAAGUAAUGUGAAUUGCAGAAUUCAGUGAAUCAUCGAAUCUUUGAACGCACCUUGCGCCCCUUGGUAUUCCGAGGGGCAUGCCUGUUUGAGUGUCAUUAAAUUCUCAAACUCACUUUGGUUUUUUCCAAUUGUGAUGUUUGGAUUGUUGGGGGCUGCUGGCCUUGACAGGUCGGCUCCUCUUAAAUGCAUUAGCAGGACUUCUCAUUGCCUCUGCGCAUGAUGUGAUAAUUAUCACUCAUCAAUAGCACGCAUGAAUAGAGUCCAGCUCUCUAAUCGUCCGCAAGGACAAUUUGACAAUUUGACCUCAAAUCAGGUAGGACUACCCGCUGAACUUAAGCAUAU
rnacentral:rRNA from 1 species